CAUCCGCAGGCUGAAGCUGGACACAUCCUCUUCUUUCUUUUUCCUCUUCUACCACCUUUUCUCUCUCCUCCUUUUGCCUUUAUGAUGCUCACAGGAGAAUGGGAUAAGGAGGGGCAAUUAACGUCGUGUCAAGGGUACAUGUGGGGCCCAUCAUCUCGGCUUGGGAACGUCAAGCUUAUAGGGGGAGGACCAUCCACUAUCUCCAGGGUAGAGAAAAAUCUUUGCAAUUAAUUGUGAUAAUGUCACCAGUACGAGUUCAAAUGACCCAAGAUCACCCUCAUAACACAUGCAUAGAGAAUGCAUGAUCGGGAAUCAACGUAUACAUGAGACGGCAUAGUCGAUGAAGACCUUUUAGCACUGCCACUGACAGUGGGCUGGUUAGAUUGAGGACAUAUUGGGCCCUCGAUCUCUUCUUAUCUUCAGUCUAGACGAAAUUUCUCCCAACACAUACCCUCUACUCCUGAGUUCGAGCCUUGGCUCGAGCGAAGGGAGUAUUACAGACAGGACGGGCCGAAGAUGCAAGAAUUUGGUGACCCAAAGCAUAUCCGAAGCAUACACAUGGUGGAUAUCAUAGCUAGGAGUCGAUAAAGCUCAUGUGGGAACUGAUUUUUAGAGUAGAUCAGAGGCUCCCAUGGGCCGAUCAAAGGCCAUUGAUUUUUCAAACCGAUAAAAGGCUCCUUCUAUAUUGGGCCGAUUAAUGACUGCUGAUUUAAAGCCAAUCAAAGGCUCCUUCGAUAUUGGACCGAUCAAAGGCCAUUGAUUUCAAGUCGAUCAAAGAUUUCUUCUACAUUGAGCCAAUCAAAGGCCGUUGAUUUAAAGCCGAUCAAAGGCUCCUUCUACAUUGGAUCGAUCAAAGACUGUUGAUUUAAAACCGAUCAAAAGCUCUUUCUAUGUUGGGUCGAUCAAAGGCUCCUUCUACGUUGGACAGAUCAAAGGUCGGGCUGAUCAAAUACCAUUGAUUUAAAACCGAUCCAAGACUUCUUCUAUGUUGGGCCGAUCAAAGACCAUUGAUUUAAAGCCGUCAACAUCGGGCCGAUCAAAGGCCAUUGAUUUCAAGUCGAUCAAAGGCUCCUUCUCCAUUGGGUCGAUCAAAGGCUGUUGCUCGCUUGAGUGCUUGGGCCGACAAGGCCUUCCCCGUUUGGGAUGUUGGAAGAGCCUUCCUCAUUUUUCCUAUGGAUCGGUGAACACACAAGACCCAUAGGCUUAAAAUAAAAAUUCUUUAUUGAAAAAUAUUUUUAAAAAACAUUACUGACAGUAGGUGCAGAGGGUCUUCUUCCUCUACAGAGACUUCCUUGAUCGGCUUUGUUUUGGUCGGCUUCCUCAGCCUUCAUUUUUUUUCUCUGCUUGGUCUUAUUUUUCUGUUCUGCUUUAGUCUGCUGAUGACCUCAGCUCGGAUUUAGUUUUCUCCUCGGUUCAAUUUUGGGAUGAGCUUUGCUCGGCCUUUGUUCUUUUCUCUGUUCGGAUUUGAUUUUCUCCUCGGUUUGACUUUGAGAUGAGCUUUGCUCGAUCUUGAUUUUUUUUGCUCGAAUUUGAUUUUUUUCUCGGCUCAGCCUUGGGAUGAGCUUUGCUCGGCCUGACUUUGGGAUGAGCUUUGCUCAGUCCGAAUUCUUUCCUCCAUUCGGAUUUGAUUUUCUCCUCAGCUCGACUUUGAGAUAAGCUUUGCUCGACCUGACUUUGGGAUAAGCUUUCCUCGACCUUGAUUCUUUCUUCCGUUCAGAUUUGAUUUUCUCCUCGACUCGAUUUGGGGAUGAGCUUUGCUUGGUCUUGAUUUUUUUACUCGAAUUUGAUUUUCUCCUCAUUUCGACCUAGGGAUGAGCUUUGCUCAGCUUGAUUUUGGGAUGAGCUUUGCUCGGCCUUGAUUCUUUUCUCUGUUCGGAUUUGAUUUUCUCCUCGGCUCGAUUUUGGGAUGAGCUUUACUCGACCUUGAUUUUUUCGCUCGAGUUUGAUUUUCUCCUCAGCCUGACUUUGGGAUGAGCUUUGCUCAGCCUGACUUUGGGAUGAGCUUUGCUCGACCUUGAUUUUUUUCGUUCGAAUUUGAUUUUCUCCUCGGCUCAACUUUGGGAUGAGCUUUACUCGGCCUGACUUUGGGAUGAGCUUUGCCCGGCCUUGAUUCUUUCCUCCACUCGAAUUUGAUUUUCUCCUCGGCUCGACUUUGGGAUGAGCUUUGCUCGGCCUUGAUUCUUUCCUCCGCUCGGAUUUGAUUUUGGCGUCCUAUGAUUCUGCGAGAAGAAAGAAGAAUAGUGGAUGAAAACUUAGCCUCUUACCAUGAGUUUUCUAUUUGGGAGCCCCUGGGUUCUGUUUGGUCUCUUCUUGUCAGCCGGAGGAUGUUGGAUGAGGAGGCGUCAGAAGGAGGAUAGCGCGCGGAGUCGUCGGUCGAAAGGGAGUGUGCGGAGAGUCAUCGGCCGACAGGGAGUGCGCGAAGAAGUCGUCAACCGGAAGGGAGUGCAUGGAGAAGUCGUCAACCGAAAGAGAGUGCACAAAUAAGUCGUCGGUCGAAAGGGAGUGCAUGAAGAAAUCGUCGGCCGAAAGGGAGUGCACGGAGAAGUCGUCGACUAGAAGGGGGGCUUGUGAGAGGAGCGGGGGCGCCUGUCCGUCGGGACUCAAUACACACGGGUGCAUGGGAGGCGCCGAUUUGUUCGCGGGCCGUCAAUCCGGAGUCAACAUGCAAUGGAGGGGCAUGCAAGCAGUGCUGGAUCAGCCCCAUGCUGGUGGAGUACGUGGGAAGGAAGCGACGCUAACCGAGAGCAGCAUGCAAAGGGAGAAGCAACGUUGGGGGAGGCUCGCGCGGGGGCGGCGAAGCCAGGAGAGGUCAUGUGGGGGCGGCGGAACCGACUCCAGCACCGACGGAGGCGUGCAUGCACACAGGAAAGGCCAAUGACCAUCGGUGCCUUUUUUCCUUUCCCUGCGGCUUCUCUUUCCGCUUCCUUCCCUCUUCUUUUUUCUCCCCUCCCUUUCUUCUUCUUCUUUCUCUCUUUUUUUUUGUUUGUCACUUGUGGCAGAUGGAACAAGAGGGGAGGGGGAUUGCCAGGCACAAGUGGCCCACGGUAAUCCCCAUAACACGCACAUGUCAAAAAUAAAAAAAUAACAUAGUACCUUUUCUCCGCGUAGAGCGUGGGCGGCCGUGCAUGGAUGACUUUGGCCGAGGUCGAAGAUGGACUUGCAUAGGGGCCUUCCUUCUUCCAUUUCUUUAUUUUGGCUGGUUGCUGGCCCUCCCAUCUAUCUGCCGAGAGGCGGUGACGUUGGAGUGGUGGGAGGAUGCUCUUUUGGGCGCCAUUACUGCUUUGCCUCGAUCUGCGUUCCUCCACAUGGGACAAGGUUCUUCUUUUAGCGCAAAUCUGUUGAUGCAAAAAUUCAUCUCGAGGUCGGGAUAGAUGGAGUCGAGCGGCAACGGCAAGUUGAAGGCAUGACGGCAGUUGCAAGACCUGCAAGAAAAAUUUCCGCCCGGAGGCAGCUCCGGCGGAGACUCUCCGACGCUCAAGUUAGUUUUCUGUUCAACAGUAAGAGGAGGAGCGUGAGAGGCAGAGUGAUGGCAUACUUUGGGGGUCCCUCUUUUUCUCCCUCUUAUAGGUGAAAAUCGGAGUUUGUUAGACCUAGGCACUUGGGCCUGUAGGCUGUUAGGAUAGGCUGUUUGCCUACUAACAGUUUGUUAGUCAUGGCCACCUGCGGUCUGCUGCCUGUUGUCCUACCCAUUAGCUAGGUUGCUAGUCAUGGGAGAGCACAGGACUGUCAGAGAUUUUUGUCUCCCAUUAGACGUCCUCGAGAAUUAUGCCUAGUGUUGUCAUCUCAUGGCAUUUGGGAGGCCCACUCAUUAAGGAAAUGGGCUAACAUGCUACAGCUGAGAGUGUGGGAGGGGCUUGUUUUACGAUGUGACAGGGCCGCACACUCUGAAGGGUCAAUAGCCAAGAUGGAGCGGAGGCCGAUGCUAGGUCGGAGGCCGAGGUGGGGUCAGACACAUGCAAAGAAUGGGCAUCCGCAGGCUAAAGCUGGACACAUCUUCUUUUUUUUCCUCUCCUACCACCUUUUCUCUCUCCUCCUUUUGUCUUUAUGAUGCUCAUGGGAGAAUGGGAUGGGGAGAGGCAAUUAACGCCUUGUCAGGUGGUACAUGUGGGGCCCAUCAUCCUGGCUUGGAAACGUCAAGCUUGUAGGGGGAAGGACCAUCCACUAUCUCCAAGGUAGAGAAAAAUCUUUACAAUUAAUUGUGAUGAUGUCAGUAGUAUGAGUUCA
rnacentral:lncRNA from 1 species